rnacentral:lncRNA from 1 species
CUGUUUGCCCUUGACGGGGCUGUGUAGCAGAGCGCCCAGCUGGACGAAUCUCCCAGCCAGUUGGGGAGCCCCUCUGAGGGUCAUUCCUGCGGAUGUGGCCGUCGGGAGGACCAGCCCGUUUGCAGACCAAGCUUUUGCUUCCUCUCAUCCCUCCUGAGGAAGACCCUGGGAAAGGAAUGCUCUUCCUGCGGGCCCUUCCUCAGACACCAGGCAAACGGGUGAAGGUGCAGAGGUCGGCGACCACCUCAUAAUUCCGUGUGUGUUCCUUGACGGAAGGGGCAGCAGAGCACCCAGCACUGGAUACUCAGUGUCAGAUGAGUGAACAAGCAAAUGGCUGAUGUCUGGUUUCAAUGUUUGCCUACGAGGAGAUGUACUCCGCUCCCAGCUCUUAGCCUCACCAUGCAGUGGAAGGGAAGGAGGCUUCUGAACUGGCAGCUCUACAUUCUUCCCCUCUCUGUGCAACUUGUUUAGAUCACAGAACUGGAAGGGACCCCAAAAAUCCCAUUCUCCCACCCCUCCGAUUAGAGAGGAAGAAACAGAGGCCCAGACUCAACAGACUUGCCAAAACCCAUGGACCUGGUUGGGGGCCCACAUCUAGCACUUUCCCCAGCCUCACAGCCUGCCUUGUUUAUUUGUUCAGCAGUUUUUGUUUCGCCAUGGCACAGCUUGUUCCGACUCUGGAACAUUUAUGAGAUGAGCCAAUUUUUAAAAAUCAUAGAAAAUAAAUGGUUUGCUCUUGGAGCUGAAGGGCGGGGCAGCCAGGGUGGGAGACAGGUUCCAGGCCAGUUCUGGGGCAGAAUUUUGGCUUAUCCUUUGCUGUGUUUUUUUAUUCUCCUGCCUUGGGAACCAAAAGGAUUUCAGUGGGAUUUCCUGCCUCGAUUUCUCCAGUACUAUGAUAUGGAAAGACUAGAACAUUCAACCAUACACUUUCUGAUUCUCACCUCCACCAUCAUUAGUUCCAUUCCAAACUCUGGCUCCUACCCAUUGAGUUCAAGCUACAGCCUGAUUCAACUGAUCAACCUGGGGAUGGUGGUGUCAGGACUAGCACCUGGACCAUUCUGCCUCCUCUGCCUGCAACAUCCUCUCUAUCUGCUUGUGAACUCUUCUCCUUCAAAACCCAGCGGUUACGUCACCACUUCUAAAACCUUGAACUGAUUCCCCACGUAGUCGGCCAGCUACUUUUUAAAUUUAAAAAAGCCCAACCAGAAUAAACAGGAUAGCUAAAAUGCUGAA